AGGGUGGGAUUGAGUACAGCUAGGCCUUGUGUGUAUUGAUUGGGAAUGCUAAUGUUUUUUUCUUUUUGAGUCUUAAAUAAAAUAUGGAGCUUUUUAUUCAUUAUUUUUUAAAGCAGUCCUAUUUACCUAUGAAAAAACAAAAGAUGGAGCUCUUGGGUAGUAUCAAUUAACAAAAAUGUCCUGCUAAUUAUAUAUUAGACAUUUUGUUUCCUGCCGAAUUGUCUAAUGUCAAUAAACAAAAAUGUCCUACUACAUGAACCUUUCAAUUUCCUAACAGGGGAAGAUCUAUUAGCUAUUGCAGCAGAUCAGCCCUUUCAAUUUCCCGCCACAUUCACAUUUGUUAGAGCAUUUUCAGUUUUGGAUGGCAUUAAUUUGGAAAGGGCCUUGACCCUCGAUUUGAUAUUACUGAGAUUGCCAAACCGUGAGUUUGAUCUUUGCUUCUUCCAACUCUGAAAUUUAGCAAGCUAGAUAUUCCUUGUUUCUGAUAUGCCUUUGAUGCUUUACCUCGGAGCUAUGCGAUGGAGUUGUUAAGGUUGAAGGAAGCUGUGGUUGAAGUUAUCCUGAAGGCACACUCAAAAUUCUCUUGACUUAUUAACAAGGAUAGCUUUCAGCCCUCAACGAGGAGUUACAUUUGUAAUUUGUAACAAUUCUGUGGUAGAUGUCGGCAUUGUAGUCAUCUUUAACGGGAUGAAUGUCUACUCAUGAUGUAUGAUUUUGUAAUAUAAGAAAAAAUUAUUCAAUAAAAUGUGCUUCUUUUUUAA